UUGGUUAAGUUAGAAAGGGCGCACGGUGGAUGCCUUGGCACUAGGAGCCGAAGAAGGACGGGACUAACACCGAUAUGCUUUGGGGAGCUGUACGUAAGCGUUGAUCCAGAGAUUUCCGAAUGGGGGAACCCACUAUCUUUAGUCGGAUAGUAUCCUUACGUGAAUACAUAGCGUAAGGAAGGCAGACCCAGGGAACUGAAACAUCUAAGUACCUGGAGGAAGAGAAAGAAAAAUCGAUUUCCUGAGUAGCGGCGAGCGAAACGGAAAGAGCCCAAACCAAGAAGCUUGCUUCUUGGGGUUGUAGGACACUCUAUACGGAGUUACAAAAGAAAGUUAUAAAUGAAGCGGUCUGGAAAGGCCCGCCAAAGACGGUAACAGCCCGGUAGUUGAAAUGGCUUUCCCUCCAGAGUGGAUCCUGAGUACGGCGGAACACGUGAAAUUCCGUCGGAAUCCGGGAGGACCAUCUCCCAAGGCUAAAUACUCCCUAGUGACCGAUAGUGAACCAGUACCGUGAGGGAAAGGUGAAAAGCACCCCGGAAGGGGAGUGAAACAGUUCCUGAAACCGUGUGCCUACAAGUAGUUAGAGCCCGUUAAUGGGUGAUAGCGUGCCUUUUGUAGAAUGAACCGGCGAGUUACGAUUUGUUGCAAGGUUAAGCGGAAAAAGCGGAGCCGUAGCGAAAGCGAGUCUGAAUAGGGCGCAUAAGUAACAGGUCGUAGACCCGAAACCAGGUGAUCUACCCAUGUCCAGGAUGAAGGUAAGGUAAUACUUACUGGAGGUCCGAACCCACGCACGUUGAAAAGUGCGGGGAUGAGGUGUGGGUAGCGGAGAAAUUCCAAUCGAACUUGGAGAUAGCUGGUUCUCUCCGAAAUAGCUUUAGGGCUAGCCUCGAGGUAAAGAGUCAUGGAGGUAGAGCACUGUUUGGACUAGGGGCCCUUCUCGGGUUACCGAAUUCAGAUAAACUCCGAAUGCCAUGUACUUAUACUCGGGAGUCAGACUGCGAGUGAUAAGAUCCGUAGUCGAAAGGGAAACAGCCCAGACCACCAGUUAAGGUCCCCAAAUAUAUGUUAAGUGGAAAAGGAUGUGGGGUUGCUUAGACAACCAGGAUGUUGGCUUAGAAGCAGCCACCAUUGAAAGAGUGCGUAAUAGCUCACUGGUCGAGUGACCCCGCGCCGAAAAUGUACCGGGGCUAAACAUAUUACCGAAACUGUGGAUGAACCUCUUCGGAGGUUCGUGGUAGGAGAGCGUUCUAAGGGCGGUGAAGUCAGACCGGAAGGACUGGUGGAGCGCUUAGAAGUGAGAAUGCCGGGGAGGUUCGUGGUAGGAGAGCGUUCUAAGGGCGGUGAAGUCAGACCGGAAGGACUGGUGGAGCGCUUAGAAGUGAGAAUGCCGGUAUGAGUAGCGAAAGAAGGGUGAGAAUCCCUUCCACCGAAUAUCUAAGGUUUCCUGAGGAAGGCUCGUCCGCUCAGGGUUAGUCGAUGAGUAGCGAAAGAAGGGUGAGAAUCCCUUCCACCGAAUAUCUAAGGUUUCCUGAGGAAGGCUCGUCCGCUCAGGGUUAGUCGGGACCUAAGCCGAGGCCGAUAGGCGUAGGCGAUGGACAACAGGUAGAGAUUCCUGUACCAGUGCUAAUUGUUUAACCGAUGGGGUGACACAGAAGGAUAGGGAAUCGCACGAAUGGAAAUGUGCGUCCAAGCAGUGAGUGUGAGAAGUAGGCAAAUCCGCUUCUCGCGAAGCAUGAGCUGUGAUGGGGAAGGAAAUUAAGUACGGAAGUUCCUGAUUUCACGCUGUCAAGAAAAGCCUCUAGGAAGAGUAGUACUGCCCGUACCGCAAACCGACACAGGUAGAUGAGGAGAGAAUCCUAAGGUGAGCGAGAGAACUCUCGUUAAGGAACUCGGCAAAAUGACCCCGUAACUUCGGGAGAAGGGGUGCUCUAUUAGGGUGCAAGCCCGAGAGAGCCGCAGUGAAUAGGCCCAGGCGACUGUUUAGCAAAAACACAGGUCUCUGCAAAACCGUAAGGUGACGUAUAGGGGCUGACGCCUGCCCGGUGCUGGAAGGUUAAGAGGAGUGCUUAGCUUCGGCGAAGGUACGAAUUGAAGCCCCAGUAAACGGCGGCCGUAACUAUAACGGUCCUAAGGUAGCGAAAUUCCUUGUCGGGUAAGUUCCGACCCGCACGAAAGGCGCAACGAUCUGGGCACUGUCUCAACGAGAGACUCGGUGAAAUUAUAGUACCUGUGAAGAUGCAGGUUACCCGCGACAGGACGGAAAGACCCCGUGGAGCUUUACUGCAACCUGAUAUGGAAUGUUUGUACCGCUUGUACAGGAUAGGUAGGAGCCGAAGAGACGUGUGCGCUAGCAUACGAGGAGGCAAUGGUGGGAUACUACCCUGGCUGUAUGACCAUUCUACCCUGGCUGUAUGACCAUUCUAACCCGCCACGCUUAGCGCGUGGGGAGACAGUGUCAGGUGGGCAGUUUGACUGGGGCGGUCGCCUCCUAAAGAGUAACGGAGGCGCCCAAAGGUUCCCUCAGAAUGGAUGGAAAUCAUUCGCAGAGUGUAAAGGCACAAGGGAGCUUGACUGCGAGACUGACAAGUCGAGCAGGGACGAAAGUCGGGCUUAGUGAUCCGGUGGUUCCGCAUGGAAGGGCCAUCGCUCAACGGAUAAAAGCUACCCCGGGGAUAACAGGCUUAUCUCCCCCAAGAGUCCACAUCGACGGGGAGGUUUGGCACCUCGAUGUCGGCUCGUCGCAUCCUGGGGCUGUAGUCGGUCCCAAGGGUUGGGCUGUUCGCCCAUUAAAGCGGCACGCGAGCUGGGUUCAGAACGUCGUGAGACAGUUCGGUCCCUAUCCGUCGCGGGCGCAGGAAAUUUGAGAGGAGCUGUCCUUAGUACGAGAGGACCGGGAUGGACACACCGCUGGUGUACCAGUUGUUCCGCCAGGAGCAUCGCUGGGUAGCUAUGUGUGGCAGGGAUAAACGCUGAAAGCAUCUAAGCGUGAAGCCCCCCUCAAGAUGAGAUUUCCCAUUUCUUCGGAAAGUAAGAUCCCUGAAAGAUGAUCAGGUAGAUAGGUUUGGAGUGGAAGUGUAGCGAUACAUGGAGCGGACAAAUACUAAUCGAUCGAGGACUUAACCAAAA
rnacentral:rRNA from 1 species